AUUGAACGCUGGCGGCAUGCUUUACACAUGCAAGUCGAACGGUAACAGGCCGCAAGGUGCUGACGGGUGGCGAACGGGUGAGUAAUGCAUCGGAACGUGCCCAGUCGUGGGGGACAACGCAGCGAAAGCUGUGCUAAUACCGCAUACGAUCUGUGGAUGAAAGCGGGGGACCGUAAGGCCUCGCGCGAUUGGAGCGGCCGAUGUCAGAUUAGGUAGUUGGUGGGGUAAAGGCUCACCAAGCCGACGAUCUGUAGCUGGUCUGAGAGGACGACCAGCCACACUGGGACUGAGACACGGCCCAGACUCCUACGGGAGGCAGCAGUAGGGAAUAUUCCGCAAUGGGCGCAAGCCUGACGGAGCAACGCCGCGUGAGUGAUGAAGGUUUUCGGAUCGUAAAGCUCUGUCGUAAGGGAAGAAAUAGCUGGAACUAAUAUUUCCAGAAGUUGACGGUACCUUAAAAGAAAGCACCGGCUAACUACGUGCCAGCAGCCGCAGUAAUAC
rnacentral:rRNA from 1 species